rnacentral:lncRNA from 1 species
CACCAGUGUUACAUGUCUGACGGGGAACAUCUAUUCUUCAAAGCUUGCAGCUGUACACGUAGGUUUUAGAAUGUCUGUCAGCAGUGGACAUGAUCUUAGAGUGGGCUGUGCAGAUAGACCUUUCCAGGUCAUGUAAUUGGAUUAAGUUAAGUGUAAUUAACGUACAUGUAACUGAUUAGGUUAGGGUACGUUCCACGUCAGGUGACCAGAGGCAGUAUAAAAGGCCGCCUGGAAAGUAGAGGUCCCUCUCUGCCCCUUCCUCCGUCUUCCUGGAUGCUGCAUCGCUUCCAGCGGGGCUGCUCCAGCACCUGCCCAUCUCAGCGCCAGCCGGGGAAAGAAAGUAGACGUGUAAUUUCAGGUGACCCAAAAAUCAACCCCUGAAAAAGGCGGUCAUAAAACCCCCAGGAGACGAAGAUGAUGGCAU